rnacentral:rRNA from 1 species
GAUGAACGCUGGCGGCGUGCCUAAUACAUGCAAGUCGAGCGAACAGACGAGGAGCUUACUCCUCUGACGUUAGCGGCGGACGGGUGAGUAACACGUGGAUAACCUACCUAUAAGACUGGGAUAACUUCGGGAAACCGGAGCUAAUACCGGAUAACAUGUUGAACCGCAUGGUUCAACAGUGAAAGACGGUCUUGCUGUCACUUAUAGAUGGAUCCGCGUCGCAUUAGCUAGUUGGUAAGGUAACGGCUUACCAAGGCAACGAUUCGUAGCCGACCUGAGAGGGUGAUCGGCCACACUGGAACUGAGACACGGUCCAGACUCCUACGGGAGGCAGCAGUAGGGAAUCUUCCGCAAUGGGCGAAAGCCUGACGGAGCAACGCCGCGUGAGUGAAGAAGGUCUUCGGAUCGUAAAACUCUGUUAUUAGGGAAGAACAAAUGUGUAAGUAACUAUGCACGUCCUGACGGUACCUAAUCAGAAAGCCACGGCUAACUACGUG